rfam:Capsicum annuum cultivar Zunla-1 chromosome 6, whole genome shotgun sequence
UACCUGGAUGAUCCUGCCAGUAGUCAUAUGCUUGUCUCAAAUAAUAAUCCAUGCAUGUGUAAUUAUGAACAAAGUGAGACUUUGAAACUCUAAAUGGCUCAUUAAAUCAGUUAUUGUUUGUUUGAUGGUAUCUACUAAUUAGAUAACCAUAGUAAGUAUAGGACUAAUACGGGCAAUAUACCCCAUCUUCUGGAAGGGAUGUAUUUGUUAGAUAAAAGGUCGACGCAGGCUCUUCCUAUUGCUACAAUGUUACAUGAUAACUCAACGGAUCAUAUGUCCAUCGUACCGGGGAUGCAUCAUUUAAAUUUCUGUCCAAUCGACUUUCGAUGAUAGGAUAGUGGACAACCAUUUUGGUGAUGGGUGAUAAAGAAUUAGGGUUUAAUUUUGGAAAAAAAGCCUAAGAAACAACUACCACAUCCAAGGAAAGUAGCAGGCGUACAAAUUACCCAAUCAUGACACGGGGAGGUAGUAAUAAUAAAUAACAAUAUUGGGCUCAAUGAGUCUAGUAAUUUAAAAGAGUACAACAUAAAUUCCUUAAUGAAGAUCCAUUGGAUGGAACGUCUGGUGCUAGAAUCUAUGGUAAUUCCAUCUCCAACAGCGUAUAUUUAAGUAUUGCAGUUAAAAAGUUCAUACUUAUACUUUGGGAUGGGCCAACCGGUCCUCCUAUGGUGUUCACCGCUCAUCUCAUCCCUUCUUUUAGCGAUGCACUACUGGGCUUAACUGGACGAAUUGUGCCUCCAACGCUAUUAUAUUGAAGAAAUUACACUGCUCAAAGAAAGCCUACGCUCUAAAUAGAUUAGCAUGGGAUAACAUCAUAGGAUUUAGGUCCUAGUAUAUUUUCCUUCGUGAUUCGAGAAAUGAUUAACAGGGACAAUGGCAGGCAAUCUUAUUUCAUAGUCAGAGGAAAUUACACGGGCAAACAACUUCUAAAGCAUUUGCCAAGGAUAUUUUCAUUAAUCAAGAGCAAAAGUUAGGGGCUUGAAGAUGAUCAGAUACCGUCCUAGUGUCAACAAUAAAUGAUGUUGACUAGGGAUCGGCAGAUGUUGCUUUUAGGACUUUGUCGACACCAUAUGAGAAAUCAAAGUUUUUGGGUUUUAGGGGCUAGGGGAUUAUGGUCGCAAUGCUGAAACAUAAAGAAAUUGACAGAAGGGCACCACUACGAGUGGAGCCUGCAGCAUAAUUUGACUCAGCACAGGGAAACUUACCAUGUCUAGAAAUAGUAAGGAUUAAGAAACUGAGAGCUCUUUUCUGAUACUAUGGUUUGUCGUGCAUGGACGUUCUUAAUUGGUUUAGCAAUUUGUCUGGUUAAUUUUGUUAAGGAAAAAGACCUUAGACUACUAACUAGCUAUUGUAGGUAUCCCUUUAGGGCUAGCUUUUUAGAGGGACUUUGACCUUUUAGGCCACAGAAGUUUCAGGUAAUAGUAGGUAUGUGAUACCCUCAGAUGUUUUGGACCGCAUACGCACUACAUAGAUGUAUUCGAUGAGUUUAUAUCCUUGGCCAAUAGGCCUAGGUAAUCUUAUAAAUUUCACUGUGAUAGGGAUAGAUCAUUGUAAUUGUUUGUCUUCAACAAGGAAUUCCUAUUAAGCGCGAGUCAUCACCUCGUGUUGACUAUGUCCCUACCCUUUGCACACACCGCUUAUCGCUCAUACCAAUUGAAUAAUCCGGUGCAAUAUUUGGAUCAUGGCAACAUAGGCGGUUCGCUGCUCGGGACAUCGCAAGAAGUCCAUUGAGCCUUAUAAUUUAGUGGAAGAAGAAGUUGUAAUAAGGUUUUUUUAGGUGAAUCUGCAGAAUGAUUAUUG